UACGGGGGGGGCAAGCGUUGUUCGGAAUUAUUGGGCGUAAAGAGCUCGUAGGCGGUCUGUCGCGUCGGCUGUGAAAACCCGGAGCUCAACUCCGGGCCUGCAGUCGAUACGGGCAAACUGGAGUGUUGCAGGGGAGACUGGAAUUCCUGGUGUAGCGGUGAAAUGCGCAGAUAUCAGGAGGAACACCGGUGGCGAAGGCGGGUCUCUGGGCAGCAACUGACGCUGAGGAGCGAAAGCGUGGGGAGCGAACAGG
rnacentral:rRNA from 1 species